GAAAUGCGAUAAGUAAUGUGAAUUGCAGAAUUCAGUGAAUCAUCGAAUCUUUGAACGCACCUUGCGCUCCUUGGUAUUCCUUGGAGCAUGCCUGUUUGAGUAUCAUGAAAUCUUCAAAGUAAAUCUUUUGUUAACUCAAUUGGUUUCUACUUUGGUAUUGGAGGUCUUUGCAGCUUCACACCUGCUCCUCUUUGUUCAUUAGCUGGAUCUCAGUGUUAUGCUUGGUUCCACUCGGCGUGAUAAGUAAUCUAUCGCUGAGGACACUGUAAAAGGUGGCCAAGGUAAAUGCAGAUGAACCGCUUCUAAUAGUCCAUUGACUUGGACAAUACUUUUAUGAUCUGAUCUCAAAUCAGGUAGGACUACCCGCUGAACUUAAGC
rnacentral:misc_RNA from 1 species